AAGCUGGAUAAAUUUUGGCCCUGGGCAGAUCGUGAGAAAAUUAUUUACAAACAAUCGACUUGUCAUUUGGUUCCUAAGAAACCUUUGGGCCUCAUUGAACAGCGCAUUCAAUUGUUGGCUAAACGUAACCUUUUGGAGCAUUUGGGAACCACCAACAACAGCAGCAGCAAUAACAACAAC